CCUACGGGAGGCAGCAGUGGGGAAUAUUGGGCAAUGGAGGCAACUCUGACCCAGCAACGCCGCGUGCAUGAUGACGGUCUUCGGAUUGUAAAGUUCUUUUCGAAGGGAAGAAGACAGUGACGGUACCUUAGGAAUAAGCCUCGGCUAACUACGUGCCAGCAGCCGCUGUAAUACGGAGGAGGCAAGCGUUAUCCGGAAUGAAUGGGGGUAAAGGGUGCGUAGGUGGUUUGACAAGUUGGUGGUGAAACUCCGGGGCUCAACUUCGGAACUACUACCAAUACUGUUGGACUAGAGUGCAGGUGCGGUAAGUGGAAUGUAUGGUGUAGCGGUGGAAUGCUUAGAGAUUAGACAGAACACCGGUGGCGAAGGCGAGUUGC
rnacentral:rRNA from 1 species